ACUCCUACGGGAGGCAGCAGUGGGGAAUAUUGGACAAUGGGCGAAAGCCUGAUCCAGCAAUGCCGCGUGAGUGAUGAAGGCCCUAGGGUUGUAAAGCUCUUUUACCCGGGAUGAUAAUGACAGUACCGGGAGAAUAAGCUCCGGCUAACUCCGUGCCAGCAGCCGCGGUAAUACGGAGGGAGCUAGCGUUGUUCGGAAUUACUGGGCGUAAAGCGCGCGUAGGCGGCUUUUUAAGUCAGAGGUGAAAGCCCGGGGCUCAACCCCGGAAUUGCCUUUGAAACUGGAAAGCUAGAAUCUUGGAGAGGUCAGUGGAAUUCCGAGUGUAGAGGUGAAAUUCGUAGAUAUUCGGAAGAACACCAGUGGCGAAGGCGACUGACUGGACAAGUAUUGACGCUGAGGUGCGAAAGCGUGGGGAGCAAACA
rnacentral:rRNA from 1 species